GCAGUCGUGGCCGUGUGGUUAAGGCGAUGGACUUGAAAUCCAUUGGGAAUUUCUCGCGUAGGGUCGAAUCCUGCCGACUGCG